rnacentral:rRNA from 7 species
CCUGGCGGCCGUAGCGCGGUGGUCCCACCUGACCCCAUGCCGAACUCAGAAGUGAAACGCCGUAGCGCCGAUGGUAGUGUGGGG